rnacentral:rRNA from 1 species
GUCUUCUUGUUGUUUAUGGGAAGUCUGACCUGCCCAGUGAUUAUAUAAAUAUUUAACGGCCGCGGUAUUCUGACCGUGCAAAGGUAGCAUAAUCAUUAGUCUUUUAAUAGGGGGCUGGCAUGAAUGGUUUGACGAGGUGCUGACUGUCUCAUUUAAUUUUAAAUUAAAAUUUAACUUUUUAGUCAAAAGGCUAAAAUUAUUUUGGAAGACGAGAAGACCCUAUAGAGCUUUAUAGUAUAUUGACUUAAUUGUAUUUUGUUUAAUUAUUUUAAUUAUUUCUACCACUAUUUUGUUGGGGUGACAAAAAUAUAUAAUUAACUUUUUUAUUUAUAAUACAUGAAUAUAUGGCUAAUCAGAUCCAUUUUUAGUGAUUAUUAGAUUAAGUUACCUUAGGGAUAACAGCGUAAUCUUCUUUCAGAGUUCAAAUUUACAAGAAGGCUUGCGACCUCGAUGUUGGAUUAAGAUUAUAAUUAGGUGCAGCCGCUUAAUUUAUUGGUCUGUUCGACCUUUAAUUUCUUACAUGAUCUGAGUUCAAACCGG